rnacentral:rRNA from 1 species
AACGAACGCUGGCGGCAUGCCUAACACAUGCAAGUCGAACGAGACCUUCGGGUCUAGUGGCGCACGGGUGCGUAACGCGUGGGAACCUGCCCUUAGGUUCGGAAUAACUCUCCGAAAGGGGUGCUAAUACCGGAUAAUGUCUUCGGACCAAAGAUUUAUCGACUUUGGAUGGGCCCGCGUUGGAUUAGCUAGUUGGUAGGGUAAAAGCCUACCAAGGCGACGAUCCAUAGCUGGUCUGAGAGGAUGAUCAGCCACACUGGGACUGAGACACGGCCCAGACUCCUACGGGAGGCAGCAGUGGGGAAUAUUGGACAAUGGGCGAAAGCCUGAUCCAGCAAGGCCGCGUGAGUGAUGAAGGCCUUAGGGUUGUAAAGCUCUUUUACCCGGGAUGAUAAUGACAGUACCGGGAGAAUAAGCUCCGGCUAACUCCGUG